UGAAUGGCAAAACGAAAGCUUGACUGUCUCCUUAGAUUAAUCAAUGAAAUUGAUCUUUCCGUGCAGAAGCGGAAAUAUCUUUAUAAGACAAAAAGACCCCAUGGAGCUUCAAAUCUAAAUUAAUCAUAUCUACUAAAAAUAUAAUAAACAACUUAAUGUAAGAUUUUGGGUUGGGGCGACCGCGGAGUAAACUUUAACCUCCGAGACAAGUAAUUAAGAAAGACAUUUCAAAAUAAUAAGAUAACUAAUAUACUUGAUCCAAUAUUUGAUCAACGAACCAAGUUACCCUGGGGAUAACAGCGCAAUCCUUUUAGAGAGUCCAUAUCGACAAGGGGGUUUACGACCUCGAUGUUGGAUCAGGGCCCCCAAAUGGUGCAGCAACUAUUAAAGGUUCGUUUGUUCAACGAUUAAAGCCCUACGUGAUCUGAGUU
rnacentral:rRNA from 1 species